AUGACCUCCCAGAUUUGUCAGAAUUAUUCCACCUAGGUGGAGGCUGCCGUCCACCGCCUGGUUAAUUUGCAUCUGCGCACCUCCUACACCUACCUCUCUUUGGGCUACUAUUCCGACCCUGACAAUGUGGCUCUGGAGGGCGUGGGCCACUUCUUCCGCGAGUUGGCUGAGGAAAAGCACGAGGCCUCUGAGCGUCUCCUGAAGAUGCAAAACCAGCGCAGCGGCCGCGCCCUCUUCCAGGACGUGCAGAAACCUUCUCAAGAUGAGUGGGGCAACACCCUGGACGCCAUGGAAGCUGCCUUGGCUCUGGAGAAGAACCUGAACCAAGCCAUUUUGGAUCUUCAUGCCUUGGGUUCUACCCGCACAGAUCCACAUCUCUGUGACUUUCUGGAGAACCACUUCCUUGAUGAGGAGGUGAAGCUCAUCAAGAAGAUGGGGGACCACUUGACUAACCUCCACCGUCUGGCGGGCCCCCAGGCUGGCCUGGGCGAGUAUCUUUCCAAAGACUCACCCUCAAGCAUGACUACAGGCCCUGGAGUACAGUGGCCUUUGAUGGGGCUUCUUUGCAUCUCCUGGCAUCGGGGCUUUGGCCUGAGCCUCUCCCUCUAACCCCUAGGCAGCUUUUUUAACCACCAUGGAGCCCCUCCCAAGCCUUGGACCAAAUAAAAAUUAAAGCUUUUU